rnacentral:rRNA from 1 species
UACGUAGGGUGCAAGCGUUGUCCGGAAUUAUUGGGCGUAAAGAGCUCGUAGGCGGUUUGUCGCGUCGAAUGUGAAAACCCGGGGCUCAACCCCGGGCCUGCAUUCGAUACGGGCAGACUAGAGUUCGGUAGGGGAGUCUGGAAUUCCUGGUGUGGCGGUGAAAUGCGCAGAUAUCAGGAGGAACACCGGUGGCGAAGGCGGGACUCUGGGCCGAUACUGACGCUGAGGAGCGAAAGCGUGGGGAGCAAACAGG